rnacentral:rRNA from 1 species
GACGAACGCUGGCGGCGUGCUUAACACAUGCAAGUCGAACGGUAAGGCCCUUCGGGGUACACGAGUGGCGAACGGGUGAGUAACACGUGGGUGAUCUGCCCUGCACUUCGGGAUAAGCCUGGGAAACUGGGUCUAAUACCGGAUAGGACCACUGCCUGCAUGGGUGGUGGUGGAAAGCUUUUGCGGUGUGGGAUGGGCCCGCGGGCUAUCAGCUUGUUGGUGGGGUGAUGGCCUACCAAGGCGACGACGGGUAGCCGGCCUGAGAGGGUGACCGGGCACACUGGGACUGAGAUACGGCCCAGACUCCUACGGGAGGCAGCAGUGGGGAAUAUUGCACAAUGGGCGCAAGCCUGAUGCAGCGACGCCGCGUGAGGGAUGACGGCCUUCGGGUUGUAAACCUCUUUCAGCACCGACGAAGCGCAAGUGACGGUAGGUGCAGAAGAAGGACCGGCCAACUACGUGCCAGCAGCCGCCGUAA